GUGCCUCAAACUAAUGAGUAAGGAAAACCAAUUUUGCCUUGCUAAUCGCUUGGUAGUGUUGGCUUCUAGGCAGAGGGAUGGCUCUCAACCAGCCAUCUCUUGAAGCUACAAUUUUUGGAAGGGCACAGGUCGUCCCCCAAUCCUGACCGACAGGUGGCGUCCGGCAGAGUGAACCGGCACCUACUUUUGUGUUCGGGGAAACGAUGCUGGGUGCCAGU